rnacentral:rRNA from 1 species
GUCUACGGCCAUGCCACCCUGAACAAGCCCGAUAUCUGAUCUCGGAAGCUAAGCAGGGUUGGGCCUGGUUAGUACUUGAAUGAGAGACUACCUACGAAGACCAGGUGCUGUAGGCA